rnacentral:rRNA from 1 species
CAAUCACUUGUCUUUUAAAUGAAGACCUGUAUGAAUGGCACCACGAGGGCUUAGCUGUCUCCUUUUUCCAGUCAAUGAAAUUGAUCUCCCCGUGCAGAAGCGGGGAUACGCACAUAAGACGAGAAGACCCUAUGGAGCUUUAGACACCAAGACAGAUCAUGUUAAACACCCCUAAUAAAGGGCCAAACCAAAUGAGUCCUGUCCCCAUGUCUUUGGUUGGGGCGACCGCGGGGAAACAUAAAACCCCCACGUGGAAUGGGAGUACCCCCUCCUACAGCUAAGAGCUCCCGCUCUAGCAAACAGAAAUUCUGACCAACAAGAUCCGGCAACGCCGAUCAACGGACCGAGUUACCCUAGGGAUAACAGCGCAAUCCCCUUUUAGAGCCCA